rnacentral:rRNA from 1 species
UACGGGGGGGAGCAAGCGUUGUUCGGAUUUACUGGGCGUAAAGGGCGCGUAGGCGGCGUGACAAGUCACUUGUGAAAUCUCCGGGCUUAACUCGGAACGGUCAAGUGAUACUGUCGGACUAGAGUACAGAAGGGGCAACUGGAAUUCUCGGUGUAGCGGUGAAAAUGCGUAGAUAUCGAGAGGAACACCUGCGGCGAAGGCGGCCCCCUGGUUGGAUACUGACGCUGAUACGCGAAAGCGUGGGGAGCAAACAGG